GGUUGGUCCAAUGGUAGUGGGUUAUCAGAACUUAUUAACAUUAGUGUCACUAAAGUUGGUAUAUGACCCCGCCACUGCUAAAUUUGACUGGCUUUUU
ensembl:Y_RNA Y_RNA Y RNA